rnacentral:piRNA from 1 species
UCAUUACAAAUUAGUGUAGGGUGAAAUAUC